AGUCGACGGGCACUUCGGUGCUGGUGGCAGACGGGUGAGUAACGCGUGGGAACGUGCCUUUCGGUUCGGAAUAGUUCUCGGAAACUUGCACUAAUACCGGAUACGCCCUUCGGGGGAAAGAUUUAUCGCCGAGAGAUCGGCCCGCGUCUGAUUAGCUAGUUGGUGAGGUAAAGGCUCACCAAGGCGACGAUCAGUAGCUGGUCUGAGAGGAUGAUCAGCCACAUUGGGACUGAGACACGGCCCAAACUCCUACGGGAGGCAGCAGUGGGGAAUAUUGGACAAUGGGCGCAAGCCUGAUCCAGCCAUGCCGCGUGAGUGAUGAAGGCCUUAGGGUUGUAAAGCUCUUUUGUCCGGGAAGAUAAUGACUGUACCGGAAGAAUAAGCCCCGGCUAACUUCGUGCCAGCAGCCGCGGUAAUACGAAGGGGGCUAGCGUUGCUCGGAAUCACUGGGCGUAAAGGGCGCGUAGGCGGACUUUUAAGUCGGAGGUGAAAGCCCAGGGCUCAACCCUGGAAUUGCCUUCGAUACUGGGAGUCUUGAGUUCGGAAGAGGUUGGUGGAACUGCGAGUGUAGAGGUGAAAUUCGUAGAUAUUCACAAGAACACCAGUGNCAAAGCGUCCAAAUGGUACANUNNUGGUUCUUAAGGCAUUUAAG
rnacentral:rRNA from 1 species